rnacentral:rRNA from 1 species
AUUGAACGCUGGCGGCAGGCCUAACACAUGCAAGUCGAGCGGAUGAAGGGAGCUUGCUCCUGGAUUCAGCGGCGGACGGGUGAGUAAUGCCUAGGAAUCUGCCUGGUAGUGGGGGAUAACGUCCGGAAACGGGCGCUAAUACCGCAUACGUCCUGAGGGAGAAAGUGGGGGAUCUUCGGACCUCACGCUAUCAGAUGAGCCUAGGUCGGAUUAGCUAGUUGGUGUGGUAAAGGCCUACCAAGGCGACGAUCCGUAACUGGUCUGCGAGGAUGAUCAGUCACACUGGAACUGAGACACGGUCCAGACUCCUACGGGAGGCAGCAGUGGGGAAUAUUGGACAAUGGGCGAAAGCCUGAUCCAGCCAUGCCGCGUGUGUGAAGAAGGUCUUCGGAUUGGAAAGCACUUUAAGUUGGGAGGAAGGGCAGUAAGUUAAUACCUUGCUGUUUUGACGUUACCAACAGAAUAAGCACCGGCUAACUUCGUG